AAACGCUGACAUUUCUCCCCAAGGACUGCCAAGAAUUGGUCACUGAUUCCCUGUGGAAGUUGUACCCUGUCACCGAGCUGCAGCCUCCAUAGCGGUGCUUUGCCAAGGAGCUACAACACCAUCAGGGAAGGAGAAGCCAAUGUGAGGUGUGAGAAAUGCAUACAGCUCUUCCAAGCUUUUGUCUUCUCACCUGUAUGAUGGAAAGAGCUGUGAUUUAAGAAGGGACGAGUGGCUCCAGCCAAAUCCAGCCCCUAAGGUGUGGCAGCGGCAGAAAGAAAGUUGGCCGUGCUGUGGAUGGCUCUUCGCUGCUGCAGGUGCUUGGCUGCAAGUGGCACACAAAAUCCACUUCUGUUGGAGCUCUGUGCAGCAGAUGGCUUUGUGAGGAACAAAGCAGAGGGCUGCUUGCAAUGAAGGAGCAGCGUGCUUUGCCGAGUGCAGGAUGUUUGCUCUGCAGCGCAGGGGAACCAGCUGGUAACGCUGCAGAACCUCUGCAUGUGGUGGCCAUGGGAGAGAAGUGACACCCUGUGAACGUUCUGCUUCAACAAAAGCAGGAAUGGUGCACGCAGGAGGAAUAGCUCUUUGCUUUUUUGCAGCUUUUUCUGCCCACUGCACUCUGCUAACACACCUACUUUCUGCUCUGCACCGCUGCUGACAACGUUGAUGCAUCAAACCAACGUAUUACCCCAGUGAUACCUCGUCCCAGUGCCAGCCUCCAGCACUUCUUCCUAUCUCCCAGGCCACAGAACCACUGAAAGCCUGAGGCUUGGUGACAACGCUAUGUGCCAGGGAUAGGAGCCUUUGUGAGCACAGCCUUUGUUCUGUGCCACACAACAAAGCCCAGAAACGAUCAGCCUUUUGCCUGCCACCUGUUUGCUUUGCCUGCGUUAUGUUGUGCCAGAAGAAAAACCAGGAAACAGCAGCAGGCAAUAACUCACAGAAACCAGUGGGAGCUGGAGGAACCCAUCACAGGAGUGCAGUGCUGGUUUCCUGCCAGGAGAGAUGACUUCCAGAAUUCAAGAUGGACACGAAGAGGAGAGAAAAAGGAAAAAAAAAAACCCUUAAAGCAGAGUGUUGGGGCAACCUGAUUGCUGUUGGCUCCGUGUCAGCCUGGUUAUUUCUCUCUCUGCCUUGUGAGCUCUUCAAACCCUGACAGGGCCCCAUCUGUCGCUGUGAGUUCCUUGCAAAGCGGGCUACAAAAGCAGUUGCUUCAAGCCAUCAGACAGGGCCAAAUUUUCUUGCUUGUUGUCAAUCACCACUUGCACAAACCACAAGGACCGUCCCACGGGCCAUGCGGAGAGCUAUUUAUAUUUUCUCACCACGGAGAGCAUUUAUUUGGCAUAGCUGGCCAUUUGGAACCGCUCACCCUGCCUCUUGCAGCUUCAGAUGAGGAAGAUCCCCUUGUUAUGCAUCUUAAUAAGAUGCUCAAUUAGCCCCCAUCAGCUCAGCUGGACGUGUUGAUGGCCAGGGUGGGCUCAGCUGGUCACUAAACAGCAAGAAAAGGCCAAAGGGAGGGGAUAGCCUCAAUGUGGAAUGGCUGUGGGUUUCACAAAUAGCUGGUCGCCUCUGAGCUGGGGGAAAAAUGACUUUCAGCAUCUAUUUCCACCAACCCAGGAGCUCCCAGCUUCUUGGAUGCUGUUAGGUAAGAGUUAAACACGUGCUAGCUCCCUUUGUUGAGCAUACUACUGCAGUCAGCUCAAGCUUCCUCUUGUCUUCUGCCUGUUGUCUGUACUUACAGGCAGCGCCUUUGUUUCCAGCAGUUCUAGAGCCCUGAUUCCAAGCCCUGCUUUAAGGAGAUAAAGGCCAAGGAGAAGGCAGCGAGCUGAGCUCUGUGUUUUUAGCUUUGUGUCCCACUUUUGUUCAUGGCUCCCUAUAGCCAGAGCUCUUCCUUGCACGCUGCAAGUGCUUAUUGAAAGGGUAGGCUCACAGUCAUCAAAUAGCAGAUAGUGAAUAAUGAGUUAGGCUCGCACACAGAAAUCCAAACGGGUUUUGUUUAAAGUGGUGUUUGGUAUGCAAAUAAAAUUAGCAAUCCAAAUGAGGCUGCUUCUCUCCCCAGAGUGUUUGCUCAGCCUCUCCCCAGCGUUGGCUUCCAAUUGCAGGGAUCCAGGUAAUGGUUUAACACAGCCCAUUAAGCGAUUUGCCUUCGGACACCGAGAUUAAAGGGGAACCUUUCUCCAUAUCAGACCCUUUGGUCCCUCCAGACCCACCCUAUGUGCCCUGCUGGCCUCAUGGGCACAGUAACCUGAAUUUAGGAGUAGUUUUGAUCCUGUGUGCUGUUUGGUUUGGGGGAAAAAAAAUCCCACUGUUGUCUUGAAAAAGGCAGAUAGUUUGGUAAAAGUAUGUUAUUUCUUAAGGAACUUGGACUUGAAUCUACUCGAGUUGAGCGAAGCAAUCCUAUCAUGUAGUGUAAAUGUCCUGAACUUUGCUCCCGAAUCAGUUCAGAUUGCAGCCGUUGUGCCAAGAGGUGCUCGUUAAAUUUACAGCCCUGGCAGCUCACCCCACCCACCUGAAAUAAACUGACACAGGGAAAAGAAAAGUGCUUCACCCAGCACGGAGCAUUAAUGGCACCGAGCAUCCGAACAGCUUUCUGCAGGGAGCCUGGGGCUGCUCCUGGGUUAUGAAAUGCCCGUGUGCCAUUCCGAGAGCAGUGCUUGGUGUUGGUUGGGCUUUCCCUGUGCUCACGGUUGAUAGGAGCUGUUUUUAACGAACUGAACUUUUUUUUUUUUUAAUUAUUGCUCCAUGAUGAGUCACCGAGUAUUUAGCAGAGUUCAAGCUGUUUUUCCAGUUAAAUGUUUUGAUUCACACGAAAUGUUGGGGUAAUUAACGCUUUUUUCUUUGCCUUUUCUCAGCUGCCUUUGAGAAAUCCCUGUUUUUACUUUCACUUGUUUCUAAAAUCCUUAAUUACAAGGAGGGGAAAGGAGAUGCUGAACUUUCUUUUAAGCGCAUACAUUGCCAUGGCAGUGCGUUAAACAUUAAUGCUGGUAAGUUAAAGCCAAAUGAGACGCCUGAAUACUUGGAGUCUACAACAAAGUCUCUGGGUUCUUUCCUCCUGCCAUUGUCUGAACAAGUUAUUUUCUGCGUGUGUCUGAGCUUUCCCAGUGUAACGUGCAGGUAACACUCGGCAGUUUGGUUGCAAUGCGUGCAGUGUGUUGGUCUGGUGAGAUGAAGGGUGUUCUGUAUGGCAUUGUGACAGCAAAACAGCCUGUUGUGAGCCCUUCCUCGUGCUGGUGAGCAGCACUGGGAAGCAUCACCAGUGCAUGGUGGGAGGCAAGCACAGUUCUGUAUUGUUUCCAAAUACGUCUUUUAUUAAACAUAGAGUUUAAAAACAUAGCAUAAGCUCUAAGGCAUUGAAAGAGCAUUCAGUAGGAUGUAAGAUAGACAUGCAUUUAUGUGAUAGCAGCCAGUGAAACUUUUAUUCCUACUUCUGUGCGGAAAAUCUUGGAGUGUUUAUCCACGCAUGUGGAUUGUAAUGAUAAAAAACAGUGAAAAUGCUCUUCACUGUGAUUGCAGUCGUUAGUAAAAUAAAUAUGUGAACGUAGCAUUAAGGACUGUAGUUGUAUCUUCAUUCUCUUUGAGAAUGUGUUGUCCAUACUACUCACCCUUUGAAACCACCUAACCAAGACAUUGCGUUGUUUGGUUUUUGUUAUUACCAACUUACCAAGAACCCAUUUUGUGAAGAGGGAAGUAGUUCUUGUUUUCACUUCUUUUAAAAAUAACCAGCAAAGGGCAGCGCUGCCGAAAUCAGGCUUGUUUCAUUUCAAGGAAAAUGCCUUAGCUCCAAAAGGAUGCUUGAGCACCAGAGAAAAACAGAAAUGGGGUCCUCGAUAAGGAUCUCCAACUCCUCUGAAAUGUGGAGGUGUUGGAUGAGGAGUGCAUAUAGAGUAAAGGAAAACAGAGAGUCCAGCAGCUGCGGAUCAGGAAUAGCACUGCAAUUGUAUAAAAUUGUCUUGAGGAGAUGCUGCAAUAUAUCAAAGGAAGCAACAAGUUCCCGUGAAAGAGCUGUGCUAUGGAAAGGGCUAUCCCUUGUACCCUGCAAAAUGAGACUUGCCAGCUGUGAGUCACGGUAAGCAGGACAGAGAUACCAUCUGCACUGUCUGAGCAGUUUGGGGUAUGGAGAUUUCCUAAUGGCAAAUUCCUGACCAUUGAGUGAGACUGGGCUGACUGAGAGAGCUGUGCCAUCCUCGUGCCUCAGAGUGCUGCUCAGGUGAGGUUGGUGCUCUGAAAAUGCUGUGCUGCUGUGAAAUGCUGCUGCUGGCAUGCAGCUUAUUGCUGCUCUCAUUGGGGGCAGAGCGAAUUUCGGCUGGUAGAGAACCAGAGCACCCUUCAGGAAGCUCACCUUAUAGCUUAACCACAUCCCAAACAGAAGAUGUGCUGAACUGAGGGCUUUGCAGACCCCUUUUUGUACUUUCAAGAAGCACUUUUCUGUUGGCAUAAAAAUUAAGUAACCCUUAUCUGGAGUAGCAGGAUGGACUGAUCUGUCGUGGAGUUUUGCUCAUUUAACAAAUUAUUUCCUAACUGAAGCAGCUUUCUGUGCUGAGUCUGGGAGCACUCAGCCCAGCUGUGCUCACUCUGUCUUCACACAAUGCUGGCCUCUGACAGGUUGUCCUUCCCGAAGAAAGGCUUUUCUCAGUGCUCCAGGGUUGGUGCAGCUCUGCCCAUCGCCUUUCAGAGAGAUCUGAUAACGGGUCCAAAAGUCACCAACGUUCAGUUAGCUGUACAGGAGCCUGCCCUGCCUGCCUGCGUGCUACCUGCGUGCUCUUUGACUUUCCUCAUCUCCCUGCAUUGUGUUACAGCACACCUCGGCAGUGCGUGUGGACGAGCCUCCAGCCCGGGUACCAAACCUCCUCGGUUCUUCUGACCAAAGCAAGAUUUCCUCUCCGUGUUUCUCUCGAGGCGAAGACUUUUGCCGAUGCGAUUGACGGCAUUACCAGACAGUAUUAGACAGAAAUAGCUAGAUCUAACUUUGCCUGGUAAGACAGCAAUCAGCAGGCGCUCAAGCUAAAGGAAACCAACGUGAGAGCACUUCUUCCAGCUCCAGGGCUAAAGUGAUGGGGCGGGGAAAGGCUGAGGGCCUCUCCCAUGGACACAUCAGUAACCAGUAAAUAUUUAACUUGAAGUGCAGGCAGUACAAUCGUGAGAACACGACUGUUUGCAGUUCUCUGGCAUGAGAACUGAAAAAUACUGUAAAGUACUUGCUGAACUUACCACCAGCUCCAUCCUCCGCAUCCACGUUGCUGUGAAGCGCUCACCAUCCCCGUGUCCUGCAGCUCCAUCGCCCAGCAGGGAUGCAGAUGUGGUUCAGCUGCACCCCACAGCUGUGCUCUCAUCGAUAUUAAACCCCCAGACAGAGUUAAGCCUAAUGCAGGCCGGGUCUUAGCUCUUCUACUGCAGUGAGCAUCAGUGCUGCCCAUGGAAUCGCUCUGUUGUGGAACUGAGUUGAGCAAACUUAACAUUGGUGGGAGAAGAGGAGGGAGGGGAAGAUAUUGAGGCUGAGGGGAUUUCGCUGGGUUGCUCCUGACUCCCAUGACUCACUGUUCUUGCCUAGAUAAGGCUGAGCGGACGCUUUCCUAAGCAUAAAUCAGCCCUGGGGGAGGGCAGGGGAAUUUCCUUGGUUCCAUUCCUUUUUUAUUAACUUAAGGUGACAUCCUGUGCAUGCCAGGGAUGCCCAAUUAUUGUUAUCAUCUUUUUUUAAUCCAUCCAAGGUUAGCAUCCAUAUUGAAUUUUAAGAAGAGAAGAUGGAUGGGAGUUGGGUGCGUGCUCCAAUUCAUCUUAUUUAAAUGCUUGUUAAAAGCCAAUUUGCAGAAUCACUCAAAUUUCACACCAUUUCCUCAAUCCCCUGUGAGCCAGUUAAUAAGUCACACACGGGCUAAUCACCAAAGAAUGCUCCUCUGCUCCCUCCUGCUCUCGUUUUUCCUGAGAACUGCAACGUCCAAGGGCAAGAGCGCCUCUGUGGGAGCUGCCUUUGGUUUGUUUUUCUGCUGUUCCUGUAUUACGCGGCAGUUUUUGUACGGCAUUGCACUGGACAGGGUUGGAAAGGCAUAGAGAGGUUUUUGCUUGCAUGCCACUGGGCUGCUGUACCUGUUUUAUCCAGGAGGGAGGGAGGGGAUUAGCACUAAGCUGAGGAUGAGGAAAAGGUUUUAGUGCUGUGAUUCAAGCACAGAGCGGUCCUGUGAGCCUAUGUAAAGAACUGGGGAGAGAAGCACGGUCCAAGUUCGUGCGUAAUGUUGCCCUAUGCUUCUUACAGAAGGGAGCUGAAAACCAAUGGGUGCAGUUCUGGAAAACCAGCACGAGGUCUGUGCACUAUCCCACACCAGGGCGUCCCCAGGAACCCCAAAACUCAAGUGGCAUCAACGAUCCUUGUGAGAGGGUGAGUCUCAGCUCAUACAGUGGCCUGUUAAUGAGGUCUGAUGUGAAUUCUUAUUCUCUGAAGGUAGACCGUGCCCAAAUUUUCAUCCGGAUUAGAGUUAUAUCAAAGUUACUGGUUUGUUAGCUCUACUACUCUAGAUAAUCCUCUUCCAAAGGAAAUCAGUGCUUUAAAUGUGGACUAGAACUGGGAUGUGAUCCUAAGGUCCAGGCAGCUCCAGCUCACCUUCUCUCUGUUGAGUGCAGACUGAAUUUCAUUUUCGAGUGGCCCUGGUCUAGAUGCCCCAUCAUACCAGCACAACUAUGGGUGUCAAGGCAGGACCCAAGCAGAGAUACGAGGCUGCACAUCAGCACGUGUUCUUGCAGUGCCAUUAACUCACAUUGGCUGGGGGGCUGCUUUGUUCACGUCCCUCUGCUUGGUUAGGUAGAGCAGGGUAAGCAUCCACUACUUGUUCCUUGCCUGGGUUAAAUUGCUUAGUUUCUUAAUGGGAUGAUUAGAGUGAUUAACCCACCUGCUCCAUAUGCUGCCAGCGCUGCCUGUAUCGGGGCAGGUUAGGAGGUUGAAAGUUCACAGGCUGUUCAGCCAUGGAAGUAAUUGAACUGUAAUUGGGAAGAACGACCUUUACCACCAGCGUCCUGCCCUGAGCACCUCUCACAGCCAAGCACGGCUGGCUGCUAGCAAAUCUGUCAGUCCCCUGGACAAGAGCUGGGCCGUGCAAAUACCCAAUAGCCCUAACCCCACUGUUUGGAGGGAUUGUGCAGUGCUGUGCCUCAGGAGGUGUGCAUUUGUAUGCUAGAGCUGGUGUGCUUCUCACCUCCUUUACUGUAGUAGGAGCACUUAGCAGGGUGGUUUCUUUCUCAUAAGUAUUUAUGAUCAUAGCCAUUUAAUAAGUCUAAAAAUACUCAGUAAGAUGAUAGCCAACAUCCUUACCCUCUUGGCCAAAUGUUCCAAUUCGACCUAAAUUGUGGCACAGUGUCUUUCUUUGAGAACUCCUCCUGAUGCAUGGUGUUGUUUGGUUCACCCUUUAAACAUCGUUACCAGACAGUGUUAGAAUAGAUCCAAGAAAUCCAGCACUGUCUAGUAAGAUGCCCACAGAGGACCAUUGUCUGUCCAGCAGCUGGAGAAAUAGAGCAUCUAUUUUAAUGAUUCCACAUUCUUCAGGAUGUCAGUGGUCCGUAAAAACUAAUGAAAGUGGCUUGAGAAAGAUUGCCUUACAUCACCUGGCUUGUCAAUAAUUUACCAGAUAGGUGAUGGGCAGAAGGAAGGCGUUUGGUACUGAAAGAUAAUUUGAAGUCCGUGGUGGAUUUCAGGAGACAAAGAUGGUGCAGGAAGUUGAUGUACUAAAAAUCUAAAAUAGAAACACAAGAUGAGGUCCUGUUUCAUUACAACGUAAGAGCAGGCAGAUUUCCUUCCUUUGGUUUCUCAGUUUCCUCGUUCCCUUCUCUCUUCUGAUUCACAGAAAUACCAGCACUCAAAGUCACUCCAAUCAGUUAAAACGACAAACUGAAAUCUGGUGUACAAACAAACCAGCACUAAGAAGGGCACAAAAACGUGUCAGGGAUGGCCCAGUGUUCAACACAGCUCACUGAUGUUACUUUAUUGUACUGCCUGACUUGAAGGGAUGCAGACAAAUUUGAAUCUUAAUUCAAAGUGACAGGAGUCUUAGGUGUGCAAUUGUUGGUAGCGUAAUUAAGCAUAAUGAAUGCUAACGAUGAAGACAAAGGGUAGCUGCCUGCUUUGCUUCAUGUUAUUUUUUCCAGAAGUUUGCUGUAGCAGAAAUCUGGCCCAGCUCUGAGCCACGAGGUGUUUCCUCACCUAAGAGCUCUGUGACAUGGUAGGGAUGCUGGGCUGUUGCUGACCCUCUCUCCAUGCAGGAGGGGCAGCAGGGUUUGCUCCUUCCCUGUCCCCUUGGAGCUGGCUGUACCUCUCAGGCACUGUGGUUCAAUAGCAGGAGUGCUUUGCUUUGAGCCGUGCUGCUCUGCUGCAUGCAUAUUUAUCAUAGCCCUGAGGUACCUGCGAGUCUUUGCGGCCCUAGCACAGCGUUUCACACAGUAGCAGUGUUUCACACAGUACGUGCAAGCUCUGUAUAGAUCUAAGCUGUCACACAGCACAUCUCACCCAGGCUGUGGAUGGCUUUGCACUCUGAUAGGCGUUCACAAACCAAGCAGCUCUCUGUGCUGGGAACCAAACAGCACAGCAGGCCAGGAGCUGUAAGGAGCCUGGGUACGUGUGUGGGGCUGCUUGGAGUGCCUUCCUACCUGCCAGGGAUGCUGACACACCUGCCCACAGCACCCCGUGUCUGAUAAAAGCACCUAUCAGCAGUAAUAUCCUUCCUUGGCGAUAGCUUUCAUGCUGCGCCUCCAAUAUCUGAUAACUGGGGGAGUGAAGCUUCCUGUAUUGCCUUAAUUCUCAGAAAGAAACAAAAAGCAUCUGUGAACCACUGAAGACAACAUUCUCACAGUAAGUUCUUUUAGGCUGAGCUAGUUCUUUCCAAAUGACUUUAAGCAGGGUCAUCAAUUUAUGGAAAGCAAACUUGCAGAGUGAGGGUCAGAUCCAUCCUGCCUUAAAACAGAUUGUUGUGUUAGUCCACCAACACAAUGAAAAUAAUCAGGGAGAACGGUACUUAACAACAGCCCCACUUUUUCACCAAGAAGUUAGAAACUGGCAUAAAAAAAAAAAAAAUCCACAUCUGUAUAAAAAAUAAAAAACGUUACUUGUAAGUUGAAGGUUUUAAAACAAAUGGUUUUGCUAUUGGAGCGUUCUGCUGGAGGAGAGAAGUCUAGAGGAGCUGAUGUGAAAAGGACAGAGCAAAUGAUAACAGCAAGGCUGGAAAACUAAACUCCGCUAUUGAUUUCAGCUGUCUGUUCCUUGAAUUAUCUUAUAUUUAGAUUAGAAAAACGUUUUGAUUUGGAGGGAAAAUUAUAAACUAGAAAACUCGAAUGCUAAUUUUCAGUAAACUGUUUGCUUUCGUUCUCUGGAAAGCUAGCAUGGCUUGGAAGUAAAUAGAAUAUAAUUGGAGAAGAGCACUUGCAUUUCUUUGAAUGCUACAAUACUCAGCAUUUUCAUGUGAAUGCAUUCUAUCACUGCAGUAUCAAACACGUGCUGUGCUCUAUAUUCUGCAUGAUUUUCUGUUCCCAGGCUCACUCUGAGAUUCAUAAUUCUAUAGGAAGAUGACUUGCUUAUAUUUGCUUUUACCCCCUAUUCUAUAACCUGAAGCAUUUCAUCAUAAAUUUGUCAGAUCUCCCCAACUGUGGGCAGUAAAUCACACUUGGGUUUCUCUAUUGGCCACUGACCUCUGCUUGCAAAUUCGCUGUUGAACUUUUCCACGUUGUACACGAAACACCAUAAUCAUCAUUACCAGGCAGUAUUAGAAAAACAGAGAACAUCCAAUGCUGCCCAGUAAGAUGGUAAUGGCAUCUCAGGAUCAUGGUCUACAAGCAGAUAUAGCACAAGCUAGAAAGCCUCGCUGUUUGGAGAAGGAAAAAGAGAAAGGAAAAACAAACAACAACAAAAAAAAAGAAUGCAACCUAUAGCUGUCCUUCAUUUGGGAUCUUCUCAAUUAUCAAAUGCUGUCACUUACCAAGAAGAGUCCUCACUUCUAUUUUCACCUAAUGGAACGCGCCCAUCAGCUGCCAACUGUCACAAGGUGGCAUUUGAGGGCUGGGCAGUUAGAGUCCUAGCUGCUACUGCAAAUCAAAAACGUGGGGAAAAGCGAAAUCCAGGAAGCAAAGCAACUUUACAGACUUAGGCGUAUGUAACUCUUACCUUUCUUCCAGUCCUCCAACUGUGCGAGCUUUAUCUACGUUUUUAUUACGCAAUUAACAUUUGCUGAUUCUUUCAGUCGUCUUUUAAUCAGGUUUGUUUUGCUUAGGAAAUCCAAAGAUCUUACAGAGCACAGUUAUUGCAAGGAAACCAUAUUGUUUUAAAUGCUGAGAGAGCUUCAGUCCUCUCCCUGCUCACGAGAGCUUUCCAGGUGUAGAUUUUUACAAUAUUACAAUAACACAACACAAGUGUGUGUUAAAAAACACACCGAGUUCUCAAGAAAAAUCUCUGCAGCAGCCAAAGGCAUUACUACAGCUUCUUCAGCACCAAGAGGCUCAGCGUUGGCAUUGAAUACCUUUGCAAUGCCAAGACAAAGCACCUUCCAUUGCAUUUUGAAACCUGCUGGGGAUCUCAAAGCCUCAGGGAGGUGAGAGCCAUUCCCAACCUCUCAGCAGCACUGCAACCACCAGACAUCAGAACUGAAAGGUGGUGAAAAUGAAGAGGAAAAACAGCUGGACCAGAACAUGAUGAAAUGACAGAGGAAGCCACUGCUGCAACUGGAAUCCCACCAGUUUAAGGUGGGUCCAUCUGUCACGUCUUUCUGUACACAAGCUGACGUUACAGGUGGGUCACUGCACUGUAGAUCCUUCAACAUCUCCUCAAGGUGUUUUUAAGAGAAAGUCAAGUCAAAGUCUGAUGCACACAAGUUGCUUUACAAGAGCUUUAACCUGAGUCUGCCCUGCACAACUUCUCAAGUCUUGUACUGCAGGCCAUGCCCCCAUAUUGGCUUUUGAAUUACACCUGUGGUUCCCUCUUCCAUUUUGACUUUCUAGGAAUAGCUAAAAAAUCGCUGCUGAAGAAUUUGGGGAAUGGAGGAAAGUUGGGAUUGCUUUUGCAUUUUGUGCUUAUUUUUUUCUGUUAUUUCUAACGAGGCAGCACUGAACCCCAUUGGCCCUUUGCUAUUACAGGAAAGGUAAAGCUUCCCUGAGGCAGCCAGCAAACAGAUGUGCUCCUCUUAACCAUGACAAAAGAAAGUGUCUUUUCUGCUUCAAUAACACGGUAUGGAGAAAGUCAACAAGAGGAACUGAACAAUAGCUCUUUGUCUGAAGUAGCCUAGAUGUCAUAGUUAGAAUGGAGGAUUUCCAGACAACAAAACCUUAGGCUGUGUUAACAGAUCUGGUUGCUGUGUAUCAAAACUGUGCUUGUUUGAUAUUAGAGCAAAAAUUUUCUUGAAUGACCACAGUUUAGAGAAUUUACGUAACGCUUGGUUAUAACUAGGGGAAAAAAACUCAAUUACAUUGAUUUCAUAAGCUGCUCAGAGAAGGAAAGGGAUCGACCAUCAGACUCAAAGCUCGUAGCAAGGACGGAUAUGCACUUUUAUGUGAUGUGUCUCAUCAUUUCAGAGGGAAUGAUGGACUCACAUAUUGGAAUUUACACACCUAUGGUGAGAUAAGAGGUGGCAAAAGCUGCAUCCUUGCAGGUCGUCUGCGCUCAGCUGGAAAAGACCCCAAUCCACUCCUCUCACUCUGCAUCAGCCUAUGUGGCAUUGACCAGCCCUGCUUUGUAUUUCUGAUGCCACCUGAAGAUGCCAUUAGGACAACUCAAGUCAAUCAGCAUUUCAUUUAUGAUGCUCUGGGAAUCAACCCAGCAGGAAAGGACAUUGGUGUGAUCCUGUCAUUUUCUGAAGGUUCCAGGGAUGUUUUAACCUGAUCCAGAAGAUUUUCAUCUGUGGCCUGGCUAUGAGGUAACAUAUUGUGAUUCCAAGAGCAAAAACUCCACAAGAGAUAUACCAAAAAUUCUGAGCUAACAACUCAAUGCUCCUGGGCUCAGUGGAUCUCUCCCACGCCCGUUUCUUACAACUGAAACCUUUCAACAAUCUCAGAGAUGUUAUGCUGAGUAAGACACAUGUUCAAGCCAGAAGACGUGAACAUAAAUGCCAUCAACCUCAAAAAGUAUAAAGUCCAAAUCUUGCCAAGAGAUUCAACAGGACACCUCUUUGAGUAGCCAGAUGUACAAACUGGUGUCGAUGGUACCUGGGGAGUGGCAUUAUGUCAGCUCUCACAUCCCUCCUGCUUCCAGGGAUGGAGAACAUCCAGAAUGAAGAGGGAUGGUUCUCUCCACAACAGUGCAAGCAAAGAGGAAAGUCAGAGGGGACAGGAAAUGAGGAAUUUUUUCAAGGCCACUUCUUUUAAAGCCUUUUUCACCCUCCUGACUUUGACACGUUUCCCAACAAGGAAAAAAACUCCUUGAGGCCAAUUAGCUCUGAGCUUAUCUCCAGCUCUCACUAGAACUGCCCUUUCACUAAUGCUGCUCAGAAGGUCAAAGUUUCUUCCGUAAAGCAAGGUGAGUGCAUUGGAUGUGUUCAGGAGCAAGGUGUGUGAAGGGGGCAAUGGCUGUGCUCCAUCAGCAGAGAUAGCAGUGAGGUGUUCAGGCACUUCUCCAAGGACCUGGGGAGAGCUCUGGCUUUCCCCCUUCAUUCAAAGCUCCCUCAUUUCUUCCCCUCCUUUUUGCAAUUGCGAACAAAAGGUUCAGAAAUCUGUGAGGGCAGUGCUGCUGUGAUUUACCUGCCCUUAAAGAAACACAACUGGAUCAACCAAUUCCCUUCACACACGCUGAAAGACGUAAUACCAGUCUGGAUUACCACAGAGGAGCGAAAAGCCCCAGUCCAUUAUUUGAUUUCCUACUUCUCCGUUUAAGAAUGGGAAAAUAUUUUUUAAUUAAAAUCCUUUUCUUGACAUGCCAGCUCUUCUACUAUUCAUUCAUGCCACAUCAGGAAAGUCGGCCCCGAGCAGGAUUCGACUCCCAGUGUGUUACUACUAAGGGGCAACAUUAUGCAGCCAGAACUUGGAGCAGACGUGUGAAACCAUGCAGCCCUUCCUGCACGCCUCUUUCAUAUCUAUUGUCUAUUCUCAAAAGUCCUGUGAUGCCUUAGACUGGGAUCCUGGAAGCCCUUGCAUUACGUAUGUUCUUUGUGAUGUCCUCCAGUUCAGUUUCUACUAAAAACACAGACUGUGUUGGUGCAACAGCCUAUCAACACACUUUGUCAACGUGGCACUUCCAAUGGACUUCCAAUGGCACCACUUUCACCACACAUCGACCUGUGCUACGCUGACAUCCUCAGCACUCACUUCCAUCACUUCCACCACAGCCAAACACAGAUUGAGCCAACCAGCGGAGCACACCUGGAGUUAAACAGACAAAAACUCAGCCCACGAAAUUCUGCAACCCUGCAUAGUGUUCACGUGCAAGCUGGGCAAUGGUAGCACGCCAAGAUGACUACUCAAAGGCACAGUUUUCUUAGCUGCAUAAUGUGGUUCUAAUACACAAUCCUCAUGCCUUGCUCUGGUGUUAAUCAUUAAUCAACCCAACAACGGUUGGUGAAUUUUCUUGUUAAAACUUUCUGUCAUUUAUGACUACUCGUAGGCACUGUGUGAUGGAAGUGGGAGGUUUUGUGGGGAAAAAAAGAAAAUCUAACGCUGUAGAAGACAAAAAAUGUGAAAUAAUCUCCAAGACCACCCAUUAAGAUAACAGAAGUCUGCUUGGUUUGCCUAAGAGCUGCCACUAAUGGGAUGCAGAGCAAUCCAUGUAUUACCUUCUACCCAAUACUGCAUAUAUUCCACUUCUUUUCCUCCUUAGAACCAGUAGAGAAGCUUUAUAUAGAAAACAAGUGAAUUGUAGAGAACAAAUUCAAAGGAAAUACACACUUUGUAAAAAUGUGGGGAUUUUUGUGGCUGCGUUGGCAGUCAAAGGAUCGACAUCAAACUCAAGACAAUGUGUAUCCAUAAUAUAUUCAAAACAGCUGAAGAGGUUACGCAGUUCUUAUCAUCACAAAUCCGAGAGCCAAAAAUUAACUGAUCGCCUUAUUGUGGGUUUAAUACCUAAAAUUCCAGUUUAAUAAACUUCUACCUGCUACUGCAGAAGUUUAAUAGCGACGAACACGAGUUAGGAAAACGAUUUUAUAAAAACUGGCUGAAAUGAUUCAGUGCAGUUUAGUGUGAUAUUUUGAUAAAACGCAUUCGGAUCUUCACUUCAGCAUGUGCCAACCUGUCUGCAGGACAGAGAGAACAUUCACAGGUUUUUGUUUUUUUUUUUUCCUUUACUACAAGAGCUGCCAGCAAUUGGCCCUGGUUGGAAUGCACACCACAGCCAUCUGCUCCAGCCAACACGGUGCUGGCAAUGAGCAGCUAUGGGGCCAGAGCCCCCAAAAGGCACGGCCCAAAUUGCAGAAGAAUCAGGGAUUUCGUGGCCAGCUCAAAAUACAAAAUCCCACGCAUUUUUUUUUUCUGUCUGGUUCACGAAAUAAAAAUUGUUAGGGACUGAUAGCCUACUUCUUCCACACGGUACUAAUAAAUUUCAGCUCGUUUUUCUUGUCUGCUUUUAGCAAGACUUAUUUAGUACCUAUAGAGCACAUAAAUUAUUUACGUUUACCAAAUGAUGGUGUGAGCCAUCACAGCAGCUUGCUGCUUACAUUACCACUGCCGGUGCAACAAGCAAUUCCUGAGAGUUAGGAGAACUUCUUGUUCUGCAGAAGACGACGCCUGCCUUUAGUGCACUCAAGGCAACGUGGUGGCAGCACGAAAUUAAAUGCUUUGUCUCGAGAGAACAGCACUGACUUAUAACAGCAGAAGCAGGACCAGUCUGAGAUGCAUCACCAAAAAUAAAUAUAUCUCCAAGGCGAUUAAUCUACCGUCUGUCUGAUAUAUUAAGAAAUAAAUCCUCCCUCCUUCUAACCUGGAUAGUACUUUCGGGGUGGGCCUGAGCACUUUGGUCAUAGCCAGGAUCUUUCAGAAGCAACAGGUCGUGAAGAGAAGGAAGGAGAAAAGUGGGAGCAGAAGGGAAGCGCGGAGGAAGGCGGUCGGAGCCUUACCGUUGUGAAACGCAAAGCAACGCAGCGCCAUCCAAAGAGGAACCCAAAACAAAAAUCCAAACCAGCACCGAAAAACCCCAAAACGCCCCCAUCUCGUUUUCCUGAGCCCUCAAAAUUGAGUGCUUUCUCCGGCUACGCGGUACCCAUGAAAUAUAAAACCACCCUAAUGGUCGCCCAGGUUACCGACUUCAUUUAGUUAAUCAUCACCACUAUUACCAACGUCCAGGCCUUGAGAAAAAAAGGAAAGAAUGGCUGAAGAGGAGUGGAAAACAAGGAACUUAAGUGAACCCCACCCCCUUUUUUUUUUUUUUUUUUACACAUCAGGAACAAUUAGAUUUGUACCUGCAUUACCUCUAUUUCUCCUCCCCUUUUCUGCUUCCUCCCCCACUUGUUUCUCAAAGUUCCCCAGCCCUAAAACAAUGGGGUAUCCAUUAAUCGGGUAUCAGAUAUGCCGGGGGGACACGGAGGUGCCCGGCUUUGCCCAGGCAGCUGCAGGUCCGGAAAGGAAUGCAGCUCCAGUGGGGGGAAAAAUUACUUGUUGGUUAACCUGCAGGGUGAGCCUUAAUCAAUAGGCACGGACGAUGAAAAGAACAAAGCAUGUGAAACUUAAGCCUUUAUAUCUCGAGCUCCAUCAGAUAAAAGCUGUACCUGGAGCUGGAAAGGACAGCCAGGCUUAGCUGGGAGCUUAAACGCAUCAGCACGAUCCAAGUUGUUUCAGGAGUUGACUUGGCUUAUUGAUCGCCAUUCCUUCCGCCACCACCAAAGAUUAAAAUACAAAAGUAAGCCUCUAAUGCUGACUUACCAGACUCUGACGACAGAGCCCUUAAAAGAAAAACGAAUGAAUGCGAAAUGCGCGUCCCGACUGUAAAAUGUGAUUUCCUCAGGCCACUUUCCCCUGCCCGAAAUAUGGUAAGGACAUUCUAAUUAACUUGUUUUGCAAACAAAAUGUCCAACGAAUUAACAUCUGAUUGCGCUCGUAUUUUACGUCCAGUUUGCUUUUUUUUUUUUUUUUUUUUUUUUUUUUUUGCAAUUUGAAAUCCCAUUACAUGCUUUGUUUUGUUAGAAAUGUAGAAAAUUAUCACUUUCUACAUUUCACCCCCCCCCCAGAUUAAGGCCAGGAAGAAAACCCUGUUUCCUACAUGAGCAAACCUCCACACAAAAGGAUGUUUCCUUUCUCCUACAUGAGCAAACCUCCACACAAAAGGAGAAGCCUAGGAGAGUUCUUACAGUUUUAUGGCUGUCUCAUAGAAGCGACUUCAAAAUGCUACCAUCAGCUGGGAUGUGGUCAUAAAAGUGUAUUUUAAUGUGCCCUUUCAUUCACUCUGGGCCCGAUUAAAUUAAAAGCAUUGUUGUGGGGAGGAUUUUUCUUUUCAUUCUGAAAUGAAGCUUAGCUCCAUUUUUAUACAGCAGCCUGCAUUGGUAAAUCUGUGUCAGCAGGUCAGGCCAGCUCCGGGACCCACAGCCCUCUGAGCUCAUUCCAUACAUAGAGCAGCACUGCAGUUGGUGUUAACAAGGGCAGGAGAAGCACUGAGCUCCUGAUCUAUUGGAAAUACUGUAUGGCAUCACUUUAUCUGGCAGAUGGAGUUUGCUGCUGGCCACCCCCAGCUCUCAGGUGCCAGGUUUGUAUGUUCUGACUGUUAGCAUUCCUGAAAUGUACUAAUACAGCCAUGAUGGUAAUGGCGAGUAAUAUGAUUAUUCUGAGAACUUACUAUGCCUUCACCAGGCUCGUUGCUUGCAGGGCAGAAUGGGAGGAGGAGACAGAACUCAGAAUUUAGCUAAUAUUUCCCCAAAUCCUGGCAUUCCUGUGCUUUUCUUUUAGUUGCUUCAAUUUAGUUGCCCGUAUGUCAAACGGUGCCUUUUAAGAGCCGGGAUUCUCAUUCAGUAAUGAGUUCUAAUAAUUCAGUGAUUAAAUUAAUUAAUUUUGAGAGCCCUUAAGACGCCCACGAGUGAAGGUACUUGCAGAAGUCUUGCACGUACCACCUCCAUCUCCGCGUGGGUGCUGAGCUCACAGCCGCAAUGCCAGCUAAAUUAAAAGAGGGAUCAAAACCAAUUAGAAGGACUGAGGCUGGUACUGAAUUCGAAAAGCCAACAGGAAAUGGAUAAAAGCUCAUAUCUGGCUUGGUAUUUCUGCAUAAAUAUGGCAUGAUUUUUUUCAGUCGUAAUGCUGUUCCCUGAGACUCCAGCAAGCGCAAACUGAUCUUCUGUCAGAGCAGUCCAGAACAAAGCAAAGCCCUCUAACUUUUGUCUUUGAAAGGAAUAUGGUUUAGGUAAUAAUUGCAAUUACAGGGAGAAGAUAUAGGCAAGAAUAAAAAAUAAAAGUCAAGAAUUAGCCUCAGCGAAACGGGGGGAGUAAGUAAUCUAGCAGCAUUUCCUGCAAUUUUGACAAAAUUUUUCAGAAAUUAAAGACCUUUUAGAAACCAAUCCAAUCUGGCAGCAUUCAAUCAGGGCAGGCUCAGCUCCCUGGCUCGGACAAGCCCCAUCCUCUAGCACUGGCUGGCCCAGCUCGGAGCCUCGCAGAACCUUCUCGAAGGCCGUUUGACUGGAGGGGUGGAGGGACCGCGUGAGCAAACAUUUUCUGCUGACUGCAAAGUGUCUGCAAAGCCAGCCCAGCUCCUCUUCCUGAACCGGGCGGCUGCAUUGCACACGCAGCCUGCUUGCUUACAAAACACCUCUCUCUCCUCAUCCAAAUUUACCACGUCAACAGCGUCGCCCACCAGCUGCCAGCCCAACGAGGAGCCAAAAAGGAGCUUUUUGGGUGCCUCCAUCUUCCUGUCUGUGGGACCAGCCCACGAGCGAGCUCGCGCCUCACCAGGCAGCCAAGAGCUUUGUUUUGUCUCCUGCUCCCCGGUGUCCGAGCAGGCAGUGCAAGCAAGGGCUGGUUGGGCUGGCACCGGGCCCAAGAGCAAGGAGCCCUAAUGGUGCUCUUUUGGUCGUGCACACACACACAAAAAAGCCUCGGGUAAGAAAAGAAUAAACAAAACGAACCCAAAAUGGCUCCUCCGUGCCGUGAGCGGAAACUGAUGGGUGAGGCAGAGAGAGACCUUCCCUUUCCUUCCCUCUCAGCGAGGUGGUCUGAAAAGUUCCAAAUCUCCUUCCUUCACUUGCAGCUGAGGAAUUAAUUCUGGCUCCCAGGAGCCCGCAAACAUACAGCUAAAACAAGAGGGUUGGGCGUUUUGUAAUUGCAUUGUAAAAUACAACGCAUUUGUAAAUGCAUUGUAAAAUACAUUAAGAUGGCAGUUGGUUCAGAAUCAAAUUGAAAAAAUGGCAAUCACCACAAAGAACAGGAAAAGGAGCCCACAGCGUGCUGCAUUUCAAAGGUCACCAUGAGCACUGCCCAAGCUGGGUCCUCGUUGAGGUGCAAUGAGUCUGCUGGGAUGGAUCUCCCUAGUUUUAUACCAUCACUUUUCAGCUGCCAUAAGCCUUCUCAGAUGGAGUCUUUUUUCCAAGCUCUCCAGGACACCUGGGUGAAACUGGCUUUCCCCCAUGGCUCCCUCCUAUUUGGUUUCUUGGUUCUGCUCUGCCUGCCCUGACUGGUUUGGCUGGUUGGAAAAUGAACGCUGGAUUCAUGCGCCGCUCCCCCUCCCCCAGAACUGAGCAGACAAAACCUGAUCCCGACAACAAAACCCUCUUUAAUCCACCUGGGGAGAAAAGGAGGAAGAGAAAAGAGGACAGAGCCCUGCGAAAAAGUGGAGAGGAACGAACACAGGUAUGAAAAGCAUUGAAGAAGUCACGCCGCGUGCUGCUCAGAUCAUUGCUACCACAGUACCUGGACACCGUGGCUUACCAGUACCAUGAACACACACACGGUUCAUGCAACUUCGGUGCUGAACGCACAGCACCUUUUCCCAAACCAAAAUCACCAGCCUUCCAGAGGGCAACCAAAGGGACGCAGUGAGCAUCGCGGGUGCACGGCAGGGCUUCCAUCAUCUUCUGAUCUUCCCGUGUCCUGGAAAAGACGAACUCGAAGCGAGAGGCGUUCGCAGCGGAGGGAGGAAAAAUAAUAAUAAAAAUAGAACUAAACCUGGAAAAAAAAAAAAACCGAAAAACACAAAACGGUAUCAGCCUACCGAAACCUAACCAAAUUUAAAAAAAAAAAAAAAAAAAAAAAGGAAAGCAAAAAAAGAUUAAACCACGCGUGGCUUUCUUCGCAGCCCAGAGCUCUGCUGCUUGUUUAAGCUGGAAUUGAGAAGAGACGGCGAGUGUCUACGGGCUCGUCUUACAUGUAGUCCUUCACCCCUCCCUGCGCAGGUGCAUUCCUUGCGCCCAGCCAAUCUGCGGCCGCUGGCCCCCAACAGGUGUGUCCUCCGUGGGGAGCGGCUGGCCGGGCCUCAGCCCUGUGCCGAGGCGGCCUCUCUGGGGGCACUCAGCCUCCCCGCUGCUGUCUCGAACAAAGAAUCGAUUAUUUACCGAGCGUGGGCUCCGAUCUGCUGCUCCUGCUCCACCUCGCGCUCCUCCCGUGCGCCCCGAAUGUUGGAGUGAUGCGGAGCUACCGGUUCGGUGCUGAGAAAUACUGCAGGACUGUUCGUCGUCCUGUUGAAGGAGAGAUGUGAUUAUUUAACCGAAACCCACCUGGGUCGCCUCGCCUGCUGCGGCAGCGCAUCGGGUGGGUUGGUGAUUGCUUUCCCAUGCGAAGGAUGUAACAUGCACGCAGGGGCAGCACUGGGCACAAAGAGAUGCAGGGACUUUCUGUAGGAAAACAGCAGCGUGGAUCCCACCAUCAUCUACUCUUGGCACACGGAAUAAUUCCAGAAACUAGCAAAGAAUCCAACCAGAACUCCACUGCCCUGCUAUGCAGGCUAGUAAUAGCAGAGGCCCACGGCUGGAUUCAUAAAAUCAUAGAAUGGCUUCAGUUGGAAGGGACCUUAAAGAUCAUGCAGCUCCAACCAAGGAUGCCAACCACCAGAUCAGGCUGCCCAGGGCCCCAUCCAACCUAUCCUUGAAUUCCUACGUCCUUUCAGGGGUACCACGACUGAAAACCCAACAAUCUCAGCACACAGCAGCUCAGACUGCUGGUAUUCACUCCUAGAUCAGUCAGAUAGAAAUUCCAUUCUCAGUGCUGACAAAAAUCCCUGCUUCCCCUUCCCUGCGCAGAAUGCUACUGGGAUGCUGACAAGCAUUAUGUCUCUUCCACGACAUAACCUUGUUUUGAAAGUGUUGAGGGAUGUGCAGAAAGGGUUUACAUGAUUAGGACUGAGCACUAGGACUGAUUGGUAACAGCACUUAAAACAAAGCCAAACAGUGACUUUCUGCGGAGCAUUUUUAGCCCCUUUCAAGGAAGUUUUCCACAAAUUCUCAGCAGCGUCGUGAAAAAAAAGAAAAACAAGUGAAAUGUUUUCUCCUUGUUAUGAAGGAAGCACUCAUAUUUCCCAUGGAAGAUGUAGCUAAUGAAACAACACAUUAUCAUGUUAAUUAACCCAACUGGCAGAAGAAUUCCCCUAAGAAAUGACUUAUCCUCACGGCUAACUCGAGAGAAACCUUUGGUUGCAGAAGACUGAUUUAUCCUGCAAGGGUUUCUGCAGUUUGCAGUUUGAUUAUGCUCUCGGCUGUGCUUCUGACCACGCUGCCUUUUUCCUUUUCAUCUCUCCCUUGCUGGAGCUGCAGCUUCCAGACACACGUUGUUACCUGGGACAAAUCCAGCCCACAGCAUCUGGAGGAGAAAUUUAUGCCUGUGGUAUCUGAUCCUGCAUUUGUGCACUCUAAGAAGAAUUUAAAAGCCGAAGUUAAUAAAUAGCUUUCCAAAUACAGCGUUUCAGCGCCCGAUUCGUUGGCGGGCGUAGUUAGCAUAGAUAGCAUCUAGAAUCUAUAGGAAACUACCAACCUCCUCAGCACUGUUCCCCAGUGGGAUAAAUGCACCGUGACUGGGAGGUGGGACGCAGCCCCUGGGGCACGGCUGAGCUCUGUUAGCAAAAGUGUGAUGCAAACCUGGAUCUCACCUCCCCCAGGCCAACCGAACCAAAUUCACACCUUUCCCCCUCUGUGCAGCACAAGCCACCCCUUCCAUCUCCAUCCUAUCUGUUUAACAGCCUGGAAACCACUCCUUUGCCACAUGCUCCCAAUCUCUUUUUUUUUUUACUUCUUUCAGGACCCUAUCAAAGCCAAUCCAAGCUUUGAGUAACGGUCAAUAAACUCCACAUGGUUCCAACCCAAGUGAAUGGGAUGCCUGGCAACUCUACCACCCAAAUCCCAUUUUCCCACAAUUGCAUUUUUCUGUCCUCUGUUCAUUUAUUGCUUUCUACCUGGCCUCCAGGGGUAACACAGAAGACUGAGUUUUGUGACAGAAUAAAUCAACCAUAUCUUUCUGCAGAAAUGCCUGCAAACGAGCCUCUCUGUUAUCACAACAACAGCAGCACCAAAAAACUUAUUAUCAGCAAUAAUCUGCACCCUGGCCUUGGUUAGUACACAAGAGCCAUUUGUUUGCAAACAGAGAAUAUUUACAUACGACAUACUUGUUUGAUGGUAAUCCUAAACCCUUCUCUAUCAUCUCAGUCCUACCCGAGUGUGGCUGUUGUACCUUGCUUCAGGCUGGUUAUUCUCUCAUCUUUUGCACACUAGAAGCUGCAUGCCAGGGAGACUUUCAUCCGGCACCGUAAUGAGGCCGAUGCUGAUUUUGUUCUUUGACAUCCCUAAAGAUCCCCCUUGACAAUCUCAUGUGUGUUAAUGCGACGAACCUCUGACCUGUCUCUGGGAUGAGUCUCAGCUUAGUGUCUGGGAUAUUAUUCAGCCUGCAUACCUUACAACAGUCAUGAUGUUGGCUUGAAGAUGUCCGUAAAGAACAAGCACACUGUUCUCUAUGGGAGGAAUUGAACCAGAGAGAUUAACAGAGCUGAAGUGUCUUAAAAUCAUACAGAAGAAUCUGCAGUAGAGCCAGAACAUCCACGCGAUUACGUUCCAGCCCAGUGCUUUGAUUUUUCAUACCUUCCUAUUUCCAUCAGUACAGCUAUUUACAGCCGGAGGAUUACACUGCCAUAUAAGCCUGUGAAACUGAAAACAGUUUUCAAUUCUAUUCUUCAAAAGUUGUUUAACUCCAAACAGUCCUUUUAUAUCAGAAAUAGUUAUGUACCGGUUGGACUCAGACCUACCCAACUUCCCAAUAAAUGAUUUACAGCAUAAGAACAUUAAGGAGGGGACUAAGCCAUUCAAUACCCACUGGUGCCUUAUAAUGAUCCAGCCAGCUGAGCCUCUCCUAUUCUUUUCUAAUGCAGCAAUAGUAAACAAAUGGUUUCCCAUGUAUGCUGAAGUGAGAUUUCACAACAGCCUUAUGGCCUCAGAAAGUCAAGUUGCAACACAAGAGGUGACACCACCAGGCUGGACAAACCCUUGCCUACCUUCUGUAUCUAUUUAUUCAUUUAUUAUAAUUCCAGAAAUGUAAGCUACCUAAGACAUGGGAUUUAAUUCCUGGCACGCUGUAAUGAUGUAUUCCUGCUGAAGGUGUUGGCUCUGCGCUUUAUAAACCUCCGUGAAGUACAGCAGAGAAGACCUUAUUACAUAUUUUUCAUCUUUAAAAAGAUUAAUGUGCAGCUUGUUAUACACCUACUGCUGAAACGUUUGUUUCUGUGGUUAUUGGAACAAAUGGGCUACAUCUGGGCAGCAAGCAACCAAAUGCUCACAUUAAUAAUUCCUCCUCGGAUAAAUGCAGAUAAGCUAAAGCAGACAGGAACCCUGCCCCCAAAAUCACCCCACACUCAGAUACAGAUCCACACCACAGGAUGUCACUGACACCAAAAGUUUGGUAGGAAGCGGAUGCUCACAUUAAAAAAAAAAAACAAAAAACACUGCUGUAGGGAAUGGCUUUGGACCGGAUGAUGAAAGGAUGCAAACGCUCCUCACCACGCAGUUCAACUGGAGCACUGCUUGCUUUGGGAAGGAACAUCUCCUGUCAACAAACCAUCUCACAGCCAUUCUUCUUAGCAGCUCAUUCCUCUUUCUUCUCGAUAUAAGUCCCCAUUAUGUACUUGUGGAAAACAGGCUGCCGAGCACACUGGACUUCUGAUCCAAUAUUACAGCUCUUUGUUCCCCGCGCAGCUCUGCAGGAAGGGGUCACCCCGGGGCAGAUCCAUACAGGUGUUCACUCUUUUCAUCUGAGGGCUGUAGACAGCAGUAUCACUUCCUGCAUCGCCUCCAUCUCUUUCAUCUCAGUACCUGUGCUCAGCAGCUCGUUGCACAAACUGUAGAGUUAAAGGCACGAGAUUAAGCACGCGGAAUCCUUGCACCUCGUUUGCUUGUGCAGUGAGUGCCUGUGCUCGGCCCAGCACUGGGACAGUUGCAGCAGCACACCUUGCUGCAAUUACUAAAUUCUGGGCAGAUGGGCGAGUCCACUCCACGGGAGGCUGAUAUGUGAAACUGAGCCGUGUUUGCGAGAGCAAAGUUCAGCUCAAGGCACCACCUGUCAGGUCAGGAAUAGGAGUCAUAGCAGGAGGAACCUUCCAUGUCUUAACAAGUUAAGCAAGCAAAGGAGGAGGGGAGAAGUGCAUUGCUCUUUGCAGCGGUACAAUAACCUGGAGGGACAGCUUGCAUGCAGCCAAACGUUGCAGCUAAAACAUGUUUUGCCAGUGGUGGUGUGUAAGGUCACAGGUACGUUUCACUGUUUCUUUACUGCUCCAGAGAUGACACAAGCUGUGGGCAGGCGAGUUUAUUCGAACACGGAAAGAAAGUUUUAUAAUCUUGCAAUCCUUACCUUCUGUUUGCCCCCUCUUUGUAAACACAUCAACUUAAGGCCAACCGUCCGAUCUCCUGGGUUUAAAUUGCGCUUCCGUGGGGCAGAAGCUGGUGAAAGAGGGAAAGGUAAGGCAUCCUCCCUGCCCUACCCUGUACACAAGCAUAAAAACCUUACCCUGGCACCAAAGAGAGCCCCAUGGGCUCUUCCUUUAAUCACUUCAAGGGGCCCAGUCUGCGGUGUUGUGGUGGGUAUCCCUGGUGUAACCAGUUUGUUAAGAGCCAGAAGAAGCUUUCUGGCUCCAGUCAAAGCAAACGGAGGAAAACCAAGAGCCUACUGACGGUGUACUUCAAACGAUGCUGAGCCCAGGUUUGCUCACCUUCUCAACAGUCAGUUCAACACAUGAAUUUUGAGAAUCAAACUUUAAAAGCCUUCCUCAAAGCCUUGCUUGCGGAGACGCUGUGCAGCAACCUUCGCCAAACUCAAUUCCCUUCUUUUCUAUCACCGGUGCCUACGCUGAAGCCUUUUCUGUGGUCAUCCAACCCACGUCAUCUUCCCCCAGGGGAAGGUGGAAGGGGUCCCUACGCUCGUGCAUGAGGAUCUGAAUGUUUCUGUCUUUCCUUCUGGCAGUUACCUGCCCCUCCUUGAUGCCUAUUAUCCAGCACAGCAGCCUGGCACCUGGGUUUGCCCGGACUCCCAUCUGCCUAUUCAUCAUUUGGCCACAGUUGAAUGAAAAGAAGAAGAAAAAAAAAAAGGGAGGAGGGGAAAAAAAAAAAAAAAAAAAAAGGAGAGAAAACAAAGUCUUUCAUCUUCAUAGCAGCAAGAUUUCAGAUCUAAAGAGCUGGGGCUCUCAGCUGCUUUAAAUUGAGGGUUAUGGCUGCCAACUGCCAAUCUGAAGCUGCAUAUUACCUUUCAUCCAGUCCUGCGUUGUUCAGGCCAUAGCUUUUCUUGCCUUUUGUUUCCUCUCGGAUCGGUUAAGUGGAAGCAGGUGUUUUCCUGCCCUGCUAAUCUCUGGUACAUUCAGGCAGGCCCAGCAACUGGGCAGGUAAAUGGAGCCUGGUGGCCACGGCUGCGCUUCUGCAAGCAGCCCUGACAAAUGUUCUCCCUUCUGUGUGCCCUUCCAGUUUGCGUUGUCUCCCUCAUCACUCUUCCUCUUCACACGGACCUUUGCUCUGGAAAUAUGGAUUUCCAGAACCAAGUGAGAUUGUGAGCUGCUCAAGUGGACAGGCCAAGUCUGGCAGGGCUGGGUGAGCCUGCAAGAUGUGGAUGAACCCCAGUACUGUGGUCUAAAUGCAGGAAUGCAGGCAACAGCUGCAAAUCCCAUGCUACUGCUGGAAUGAUGGACUGACUUCCUCAAAGACUAUAGCAUGUACUGUAGGUAAAGGGAGGCCGAGAGAAAACUCAGCUAAGAUCACACAAGGAGGAAGAAUGGCUCACAUGCUAUUUGUCUAUACAUGCCUAUCAAGAGCUAGCAGCAGCAGCCAAGCUCUUCCAGCUGUCGCAGUCCAGCAAAGAAACUCUGAACAUUGAUCUGGUUUCCUUCUCCUCACCCACAAACUGUGUCUUUUCAUGAGUGCAAGCAGUAUUCCUUUUCCCUUCGCACCAGCUUAAUAUAUAAUCAGGAACCUAUUGGGCAACCAAGUGGCACUGUCAACAUCUCUGCCCACACAGAGACGGUUUCCAUUCCAAUAUACGCUUGCUGGUUCAGACAGCAGUCAGAGAAGGAGCAGAUCUUUCCUAAUUGCAUCGUGUGACAGUGCAAACAGAGCCCUGACUUCACCACCGCCUCGUGCCAGGAGCGCUACCAGGAGAGUCAGCACCUUCCUCCCGCUCGCAGUGCAGAGCUGGUGGCAUGCAGGCUUCUGAAUCAUCAGCCCACGGUACGGCUCCGUGAGUAAGCGUCUCCCUCCCAUUGGGCUUCCAUUACGUGUUGCAACAGCUUUGCGUGUACCUGCUUUCUUGAAACCCUCCACCUGGCAAAGCUGAUGAAUCCACGGAGGAAAACUGAUGCGGCAGCAACAUCGCCGCAUCCCCAGCGCAGCACCGUGUUGCUCGACCCUCCAUCAGCCUACAAACAGUAGAAAGAAAAGAAACGGUUAAAGACACGCAGUUCACUGCAGCCCAAUUUUAACGUUUCUAUAUUAAGUAAAUAAAGUCAACAUAAAAUUCAGGUCAGGAACUAUUUGUUCAGGGUCAGGUGACUUCAACUCAGCUAAUCAGGGAGACACACCUUUCCUUUUGAACAAUCUUCCACUUGAGAUCUGCAGUUAAAAACAGGUUUGCUGCAGAUCAAGUCAGUGAACUGCAGCACAAGUACCCACAAAAGUAGAACAAUGGGCAUAAUUUUCACUCCCAAGAGCAGGCAAGCUCCAGAUUACAGCAAGAGCAGGAGCAGAAUCUCGCAAUGCAGAGCCGACUGCAAGAUCCAAAACGUACCAAAAAGACCCUAAAAAGUUCUGUAUUCUUGGGAUCAGUGGGAAAAAGCCCACCCAGCUGAAAUCUCGCUUUGAACAAUGUUGGCUACGUUAUUACAUCCAAACCUGCUCACUCUGAGGACUGCAGGAGUUUCGUUGUUGACUUUAGGAAAGCACAUCUAGGGAUGGCCAACUUGGGUACAACUUUGGCUGGCCGCUUCCUUCCCUGCACACUGUGGUAUGGCUCAUGGCUGUGGCAUUGCUCAAUCCCUCAUAGCUUUUUUCCAUAUCUUUCCCACGAAAUUCAAAGCCUUGUUGCACCUUCCUCGCCGAGGUUUGCUCAGACCACACGCAGAAGCUCUCUCCUCUGUUUGGAGCAGCUCUGAACGCGCAGGAAGGGCCCUGGCAGCUGCACUGAGACAGGUCCUCAACAAGUCUGCCAAGCUGGGUUCUGAGAAGUUCCCUGCUCUUUUCCCUGUUCAAAUAGCUCCAGAUAAGCAAACGUCCUGAGCACUGUUGAGCCUUGAUUCACACGCACAACACAGACGACUGUCAUUGAUAUGCAAUUCCCUGUAUUUCCUACCUGCAGAAACCAACUGAGAGGAAAAAUGAACCCCCUUCUUAAAGACGGGGUCCUUGGGGAUUAUCUCUAAGCUGCUGGUCUACGUUGCCAAGAUUUUGGCUGUGCUGCUUUCACAUGCCAAGCCACAGCAGCAGGCGAUGCCUGCAUCACACUUAGACGUGCCUGCAGAGCUGCUGCUGUUUUCCAGUGCUGCAGGAAUACCUGCUCCCAGCUCUGCAGCACCAGGUGCAGAAACCAGUCGCAUUACCUGAAAGCAACACACCUCCCUCCUGUCCCUUGCAAGAAAAACACAACUGAGCGAUUUCAAACCUCUGACCCUGCAAUUUGUAACGAUGAUAAAGUGAUGCAGCAAAAGAAACAAAACCUCGUCUGAUUUCUGGCUUGAUGCGUGCAACCAUCUCCCCUGACACAGAAAUCCGUGCAAUGCUGAGCAAACACACCGCCUUCCUGAGCAGCUUUAAACCUCUUGUUUCCUGGUGUUUUUUUUUUUCGCUCAGGUCUGAUACAACAGGCUGGUGUUUAAAACAGCAGACCACUGCGUAGCAAAAACAGACCUAACACCCUGACCUGCCUCCUGUUUCGAUCAGCAAAAAUCAACUGCAUUCAGCCCUAACUGCUAAGAAACGCUUUAAAAUUGAAGAAAUCCAAACAGUCUGCCAUGCCUUAUUGGACAGGUGACUCCGCUGCUUUGUUUUGUGCAAAUUAUUUCUGGGUUGGGCUGGAUAUGCACAUGGAUUGUUUGAUUACUGGUCUGGGGUGAAGAAAGGUGCUGUCAUGCUGAGCUGGGGUUUGCAUGGCAAGGGCAGGAGGGCUCUGCAAGAACAGUGAGUGGCUCAAUCCGAGCCUCCUGAGCCACGUUGGGAUUUUCCUAGAGCCAUGAGAGCUGAGCAGACCUUACGCAUCUGCAGAAGCUGCAGCACUCACCUGCACGCUGAGGUCAGUGCAGAUCCACGUCCAUGGAGACAUCUGGGUGGGCAAGCAGCCACGGAGCAGCCACCAUCAGAAGGGGAACCCAUAGAGCAGUGCAGAGAACUUGGCCUUGGGAAUGGAGUCUUCAUGAUGGAAGUGGGAUGCAAGGGGUAUUUCAAAGCCAAUUCGCCAGUGCCACACGCAGCGUCUGUAAAAAUGAGAUGACCUCAUGAGCUCGGCCAAUCUCUAAACAACAUUAGUGUGUGAGCAUGCAGAGCAGAGACGGUGUCUGGAGGGGUCAGUCGCAGGUCACUUUGCUGAGCAACGCAAACCUGUUUGGCUCAGAGCAUCCCAUUGCUGUGGCAAUGCCUGGCUCAGCAUCACAGUGUGCAGCCACUGCUCUGUGCCUGGCGACCAGCUGUGUCUCAGUCCAAGGGCCCUGCUGCCAAAUCCCUUUGCUGGUGUGACACAGGCAGAGGUUUUAUGCUGUGAAUACUUGGGAACGCCAAGCACAGGCGCUGCUUCGUGGCUGGUGAUGGACCUUUUUGAGAUUCUAAUGGAAGUUUCAAUCUGAACCUGUCUUUAAUGUAAGGAUGGAGGGGGGAGAGGGCCUCUCCUUAUAAACCCUGGUUACCUGCUGCUAUCCACACUGUUGGCAACAGCAUCUGUUUCAACAGGUAAAGCAGGCUUAGGUAAGUCCAACCAAUUCUGGAAUCCUGAAAGAGUUCCUGAGACGUGGAAUAACUCCAAAAACACGUGAAUGGAUGAUCAAUUAUCCUGAUCAUUUAACUUCGACGCAGACUUGCCUGCUGACAUGGAGCAGCAUUAGCAAGGCAGGUACAGAGUAGAACAAGCAUGCUACCUGAUAGGGUACCUUUUAGAUCUAUUUUAUACAGUUUUUAGACAGUGAGUGUAUCAUCGGGUUGAAUAUGAGGAAGAAUUUCUUCUCUGAAAGGGAAGUGAUGCAUUGGCACAGGCUGCACAGGGAGGUGGGGAGUCACUGUUGUGGAGGUGUCUAAGGGAAGGGUGGACGUAAUGCUGAGGGAUGUGGUUUGGUGGGCAGUGCUGGUGGUAGUGGACGGUUGGAUUGGUUGAUCUUAGAGAUCUUUUCUAACCUGAGUGAUCCUAUAAUUCUGUCGGAGUAAGAGGUAUCAAGCCUCAGAGAAGGGGUCAAAAAAGAAAGGCUUGAAAGAAUACCUAAAUGUGGCAUGGAUGAUGCCUGCAAGAAGAGAGCGUGCACUACAGCACUGCAGUUCUGCAGGAGCUUCUGGAACCAACACAGCCAGCGAUGAGUGAGCAAAAUGCCAUUUGUAAAGCAGAGAUCAACUUUGCAUGGAUCAUUCAAAUGAGGAAACCCAGCAAUGCUUCGCUGACUGCACAUCUGAAUGCCAAAUAGUAAAACCAAUAAAUACACAAAAUAACUUCUCCAACCUGGUAGAUGUUAGGAAAUCGUAGACUUUACAAACUGUACGUUCAAUAUUAGAGGUGUGCUUAGCAAAGUUACACUUCUCAGCUCUCCAACAGGAGACCGACGCUGAUCUUUCUUUCCAAUAGAAACAAUUUAUGGUUAUAAAGGACAUCAGUCGUACGAAUCUCAGACGUUAGCCUGUCCCAAAGGCAUUAUACUGAAGGAAAACCUGACCUGUUUUUCUUGUAACACGGAUUUGUCAUUCCAGGAACCUUCAACAUAGUGAUUUGGGAAAUGAAUUGUCCUUAUAUCUCCAUCAUAGUUGUGGUCCUACACUGCACUGGAAGCCACUGCCUUGGAGAUUGCUGCAGAAACUAAGGUGGUCCUUUGUCUGCCAAUAUAGAAAACCCCUUCACAGAGAGAAAUUCAUCCACAGUCUCCAAAGGCGCAGCUUUAGACUGAAUAUGUCAAAAUGACCAAAGAAACACGAGCACGCCCAACCACAACAUGAAGAGAAAUUAAAAUGUGGAUAGUUCACAGGGAAUGUUUGAAUACAGCAUUAAACCUUGAGAUGAAAGAUGCUAGAGCAGCACAGAGCAGCGCCGUUGUGCAGCGAGCUUCACUUGACGGCACCAUCAGGGAAAGGGAUGGAAGGGGGGGGGGAAAAAGGAAAAUAAAAGUUUUGCACAAAGCCAAAAGGAGGCGAAGCGUGCCUUGGUGACAGCUGGCACUGCAUGCAGAAUGAGCGGGCGGGAGGCAGCAGUGGCAGUGCUGGCAGGAGAUCUGUGCUCAGUGCAGGAAAUGCUUUUUUUGAACGGCUCCUAAUUACGGCCCUUCUCUCCCCGCCUGUCCCGUGUCGUGCUGUAAUUACAGGAACAAAGCUGGGAAGGGGCUGUUUCUCGAGGAAGAAGUUGUGAAGCAGACACGCAGGAGCAAGAUCCGAGAUGUUUGCAGACGGUGGGAGCUGUGCCCACGUGUUCUGAGCUGAGGGAGGAAAACAGAGAAAUAAAGGAGCAGGGAAAACGCGGUGCCAUCCUGCAUCUCCUCCGUGGUAGCUGGUUUUGAUUUUUUAGAUGUUUUUAAAGCUGUCUGUGGCUCAUUUCUCCCUCUAAGUCAGAGGGAAUGGAAGGGUCAGAGGCACAAGAAGGAGAACACGAGCCACUCCAUCGCUCCUUAGGCCCAUCUACAGAAGCCUAAAGGCACUGAGUUCGAAUUCCUCAAGCGUUUCUUCAGGCUCGACCUCUAUCUACCUCCAGUAACAGGUUGGAUUCUGACAGUGUCACCAUAUGGAUGGGAAAGAAUGCUGCAAAGACCACAGGAUUAAAACUUGGAGGCCCCCGGUGCUGCACCACUCCUCCAGAGGCAGCAUCCCUCCUCAAACCUGCCUAUCACAGACCCUGGGGAUGAUCCCAGCAGCCAAAUCACCUCCAGCUUUCCUUUCUACAAGGCUUACAAUUGCCCCUCCAGAUUUCUUGCCAGGCUCCCAAAGUUGUGUUAAGUCCCCAUCUCCCACCCCUAGCAACGCUGCUCCUGGGUUCAGUUCCACCUGCAGUAAUUGGUCCCCGAGGGGCAAGAGGUGGCAGGAGCUUGUGCUGCAUUGCAAGGUGUGGAAAUGGAGGAAAUUAACACCGGCUCUGUUUUUCCAUCCCAGUGAAUAAUGUGAUUACUGAGGAGGGGAGAAGGGCUGAGCCUUACAUCAGCUGUCAGAUGGGGUUGAACCUUUUUUUUUUCCCCUUUCUUUUUAAGCAAGCAGAUGGGGAGACCGUUGCAUUCACAGCCUGCCCUAUACAAGCACAACUCACAGCAGCUUUUGCCAGUGAGAGAGUUAAAUAAAAUGUUUCUUAAGUCAUCAGCACCGCCAUGUGAAAAAAACCUAAAAAGAAAAGAUCCGGGGAAGAGGAAGGCAGAGCAUAACCACAAGUGAUGCCGGCAUGCCAGAACUGGCUGCUCUGGACAUUAGCUGCAAUCAUGAGCUGAAUAAAACAGCAGGACUGAAGUGAUCAGUCAUAACACAUCCUCUUUUUUUUUUUUUUUUUUUUUGAGCUCUCAAAUGAUUUAUCGCUUCCACAUCAUCCUCAUUGAUUGAAGCACAAAGCAGGCUAUAGGAAAUAAAAAUAGCAGAUAUUUAGAGUAGGGUCAGGCUGCUCACAGGUCAGGUGAAGAGAUGCAGCUUGUUUUCAUCUAGAUCUGAUUUUAGUGCUGGACGCUGCUAUAAAAUUUUUCAGAAAAAUGAA